UACGGAGGGGGCAAGCGUUGUUCGGAGUUACUGGGCGUAAAGCGCGCGUAGGCGGCCUGGUAAGUCAGGGGUGAAAUCCCACGGCUCAACCGUGGAAUUGCCUUUGAAACUGCUGGGCUUGGAUCCUGGAGAGGGUGGCGGAAUUCCUGGUGUAGGAGUGAAAUCCGUAGAUAUCAGGAGGAACACCGGUGGCGAAGGCGGCCGCCUGGACAGGUAUCGACGCUGAGGCGCGAAAGUGUGGGGAGCAAACAGG
rnacentral:rRNA from 1 species